GAAAUGCGAUAAGUAAUGUGAAUUGCAGAAUUCAGUGAAUCAUCGAAUCUUUGAACGCACAUUGCGCCCCCUGGCAUUCCGGGGGGCAUGCCUGUUCGAGCGUCAUUACACCACUCAAGCCUGGCUUGGUAUUGAGCGCCGCGGCCUGCCAGCGCGCUCCAAUGUCUCCGGCUGAGCCGUCCGUCUCUAAGCGUUGUGAAUAGCGAUCGCUUGCGAGGCCCGGGCGGUUCGACGCCGUUAAACCCCCCAUUUUCUAUGGUUGACCUCGGAUCAGGUAGGGAUACCCGCUGAACUUAAGC
rnacentral:misc_RNA from 1 species